GAUGAAGAACGUAGCAAAAUGCGAUACUUGGUGUGAAUUGCAGAAUCCCGUGAACCAUCGAGUUUUUGAACGCAAGUUGCGCCCGAAGCCUUUUGGCCGAGGGCACGUCUGCCUGGGCGUCACGCAUCGCGUCGCCCCCCACAAUUCUCCGUAAAGGGAACAUGUGGUUUGGGGGCGGAUAUUGGUCUCCCGUGCUCAUGGCGUGGUUGGCCGAAAUAGGAGUCCUUUCGAUGGACGCACGAACUAGGGGUGGUCGUAAAAACCCUCGUCUUUUGUUUCGUGCUGUUGCUCGCAAGGUAAACUCUUUAAAAACCCCAAUGUGUCGUCUCUUGACGACGCUUCGACCGCGACCCCAGGUCAGGCGGGACUACCCGCUGAGUUUAAGCAUAUCAAUAAGCGGAGGA
rnacentral:misc_RNA from 1 species